AUCACAAAUGCCUCAUGUGUAAUACACUUCAACUUUCCUGGUUCAAAGACACGAUUUAGCAAAAGACCCGCCACUCUAGCUGGGACUUUCACAUCAUCUGAAGAGCAUGGCUGUGUCUCUGUUAUUUUUGUGACUAAUGGCCGAAAUAUGUAUCACGCUCCUUCCAUACGUCAGCUUGUACAGAGGUCAGGUCAGGAAGUUCCACAACUACUUGAUACAAUGGCCGACCUUGCAAAACAGG